rnacentral:lncRNA from 1 species
UUGGUUUGGUUUGGUUUGGUUUGGAUUUUUGUUUGUUUGUUUUGGGGGGGGGUUUCUUUUGGAAAAAAAUGUUGUUUCAAAAAGAUGUAUUUUAAAAAUAGCACAAUAAUGAUAGAAUCUAGUCAUGAAAAUAAUAUUGAUAAUGAGGAGGAUAAUAAUGAUGAUAGCAGUUUAUUUCAAAAACAGUAAAAGGUGAAAACAUAAACAGUGAAAGAAAUGGAAUACGAAGAAAAUCAGAAAUAAAACUUGUUUAUUGUGUUUCUGUACAACAACCAACUUCUCAUCGGUUUAUCCAGUCUGUUUGGUUUUUUACCGUAAACAUGUUUCAAUUUGCCUUUAUUAGGUCAGCACCACAAGAAAAACGUAACCGAAACAGAAAGAAAAAAAAAUUGAAAAAAAAGAAAGAAAAAAAAAUAAGAAGACAAAAAUAAUAAUAAAUUUAAAAAUUUUUAAAACACCACAACAAGAAAAAAGAGGAAAAAAGGCAAGCAAAAAACACAAACAGAAACAACGACAACAGCAAGCAACCAAAGGAUAACCAAAAAAUCAACAAGAAACAAACAAUCGCCACUGUGAGCCACGAGCACGUUUUGGGAUAAAAAAGGAUGACCGACUCAGCCGACUGCGACUCGUUUGUGGUCGAAGGGAGGCAAACAAAUGCCUGGCGAGGAGCAGCGACGACGAGCGCAAUAGCGGCCCUUCACUUUUUUUCCACGAGGGUCGCCCCCCUUCCCGUAGACACGCAAUAGGUGUGAGAGGGUGAAAAUAGUGGCAUUUUCCCUCGAAAACGUGAACCACAAAGGGUACGCAGUGAACACCGGCCCUAGGUGCAAUGACGCAACCCAGCAAAACGGCUGGUCCAGACUGGGAUCGAAUUAUCCAACGGCCGUGUUACGUGGAGCAUGCUAAUAGUGCGGGGCUGGUGAGAAAAGCAGUUGCAGCGCGCUGGUGAGGAAACUUCGCCCAUUUCUCGGCAUCGCUUCUCGGCCUUUUGGCUAAGAUCAAAGUGUAGUAUCUGUUCUUAUCAGCUUAAUAUCUGAUACGUGGCUUCCUAGCCACUACGAUAUUAAACUGAUUUUUGGACACAGGCGAGAUGCCCGGGGCUUGCUCCGCUCUCGCCACGGGUCGGCCCGGUAUUGCAGUCCCUCCGGGAAUGGCCCAAUAUAAGCAAACAAUGUACGAAUGGUUCUCCAAACAAACAGACAAACAAAUCACACACAAGCGCAAAUGUACACAUGAUGUAGAUCUAGAUGUACAACAAUUGUCGCAUGUGUAGCUGCCCGCUCGCUUCAGUGUGUUGUUUAGAUCUAGUAAGCGCACGUGCGAAAACUGAGUAGAGCUCACUCAGCCUGUUCGCCUCACAAUCGAGUGUGCUGUUUCCCCCUUUCAAUUUCCAUUUUACGCCGGGCAGUCAGAGCAAGCGGAGGUCGAGGAGAUCAGAGGGACAAGAAAAUGUGCCUGCUCCCUGUCACGAUGUCAACGUUUCAUUCAUUCAUUCUGUUUUCCAGUAGCAGCAAACAAACAGUAGCAGCAGCAGUAGCAGCAGUAGCAGCAGUAGCAGCGUACUUGGGAUCAUUUCAUUUGAUCCCUUCUGAUCGCCGUUUGAUCUCAAGGACGGCGGUCGUUCUUCUAGCAACAGAUUUCACACCUAUGUGCCAUGUCUCGGAGGUCCGCGAUCUGAGCUGAGCGCACCCUUUGUUGGGAAAUGAAAAUUAAGGUAAUGUUUCUUGACAUUUUUAUGCUUAUUAUCAUCAUUGUUAAUUUUUUUAUGCGUUUGUUGACGCACUUUGCAGUACAGUUUCCUUUGUCCCUCCCCCCAACACCUCGCCCGUGUCCAUUUAGAGUCAUGCCUUGGGUGUAGGUGUUGGUGGCGUGAUGAAAGAAACUAGCCUUUCCGUGCCGGCAGCACACGACGCGGCGCACAGAAAAUCACACCUCUGUCCGUUACGCAACUGUCCUGAUCAGCCCUCCCGCUCCUGCCCUGCGGCGGGGUCAUUUAAUUUUGAUUUUUUUCCCCACCCCUAAGAAUAAAUACUUUCUGCUUUGAGGAUUAGCGGCGUUGCCUUAGGCUCUCUUUCAAAAUAAAUAGUAAUGGAUUGAAGAGAAGAAGGCCCUAGAUGUAGCCUUGGCCCCAGCCCCAGGAGUAAUGGUUUGUUUUGUUUGGGGUUUUUGGUUUUGUUUGUUAGUGGGUUUGUUUGU